rnacentral:rRNA from 1 species
CCCUUAGAUGUCCGGGGCUGCACGCGCGCUACACUGACUGGCUCAGCGUGUGCCUACCCUACGCCGGCAGGCGCGGGUAACCCGUUGAACCCCAUUCGUGAUGGGGAUCGGGGAUUGCAAUUAUUCCCCAUGAACGAGGAAUUCCCAGUAAGUGCGGGUCAUAAGCUUGCGUUGAUUAAGUCCCUGCCCUUUGUACACACCGCCCGUCGCACCUACCGAUUGGAUGGUCCGGUGAAGCCUCGGGAUUGUGGUUCUUGCCGCUUUAUUGUGGCGUGACCGCGAGAACUUGUCUAAACCUUAUCAUCUAGAGGAAGGUGAAGUCGUAACA